GGGGGCGUAAAUGGUUUCGACGGGGAUUGCGGGGGCAGGAUAAGCGAGCAGAGGACUCCGGCCUCUUAAAAACGGGGAACUUUUAAAUUUAACUGGCGAAGAUAAUUUCGUACCUGUAGCUGCCUAAUUCGCAGCUGCCGUCCGCCCGCAGUUGCCCACGACUGCGGUAAACGGGCGUGAUUAAUGUGGGGAACCAACCUGCGUAAGCUUUGCCGCAGGCGGGAUUUAAUGAAGCUACCGAAGCCGUGAGCCUGUCGUCGGGCGCUUGGCAGAGGGAAUACUAAAACAGCGACUACGCUCGUAGAAGGUUCUGUCAACGGAUUUUCGGACAGGGGUUCGACUCCCCUCGCCUCCACCA
rnacentral:tmRNA from 2 species